rnacentral:rRNA from 1 species
GAUGAACGCUGGCGGCGUGCUUAACACAUGCCAGUCGAACGGGAUCCAAGGGGUGCUUGCACUUUUUGGUGAGAGUGGCGAACGGGUGAGUAACACGUGAGUAACCUGUCCUUUUCUUUGGGAUAAGCAUUCGAAAGGGUGUUUAAUACCUUAUGUUCUGUCUGCCUCGCAUGGGGUGGGUGGGAAAGGCUUUGGCCGGAUUUGGGUGGGCUCGCGGUCUAUCAGCUUGUUGGUGGGGUGAUGGCUUACCAAGGCUUUGACGGGUAGCCGGCCUGAGAGGGUGGUCGGUCACAUUGGGACUGAGAUACGGCCCAGACUCCUGCGGGAGGCAGCAGUGGGGGAUAUUGCACAAUGGGCGAAAGCCUGAUGCAGCGACGCCGCGUGGGGGAUGAAGGCCUGCGGGUUGUAAACUUCUGUUGCUCUGAACAAGGCAUGCCAGUGGGUGUGUUGAGUGUAGGGGUUGAUUAGCGCCGGCUAACUACGUG